GCUGCAAGCCUCUGCUUCUGCCUGCUGGGGCCGGCUGGCUCGCCCUUUCCAUUCCGCUUGCACUCUGAUUCUUGUGGUGUCCCAAGAAGGCCGCGGAUCUCAGUUAAGCAGAGACGAGCCGAACACCUGGCACGGUGCUUCUCUACCGUUCUCUCGAAUCGGUUUCUGAGUCUGCAUGACUGAGCCUGGCACUGAAGGGAUACUUAUUUUGGGGAAGGAAGAACUCAAAAGUCCAGUUUUUUUCACUGUUGACCCUCAUGUGUCACAUUAGUGGCUUUCAAACUGUUUUGAUCCCAGCCUACGGUGAACAAAAAUAUUUUACAUCAAACUCAAUACCACAUACUUGAGCAAGAACUUAUCUGAGUACAGAGGGGGAGACGUAGGGGAGGAUUUUGUGAGAGCUGCUUCUAUGAGCCUUUGGGUUAACCCACGAAUAUAAGGUUACCUGCUUCCUGUCUGGUUGAUGAAAUGCCAAGGUGAAAGGGAUGGCCAAUUGGAUCAGAGCGCAAGUGCCACUCCAGUCGUUUGGCAGUGUACCCAAUAUUGGUCCCCCACAAUACCACCACACAUCCACUCAGGGAUGGAUAGGGCCGACUGAUUGAAAAAAGUUUGAAAAAGGGAUAGAGAAGGAGAGGUCCUUGUCUCCAACAUAGAGCAUAAUCUAUCUCCUCUUGAGAAACUGGACUUUUAUCAUUGACAUAUUGGAUCAGGAGUUGGCAUAUCCAGUCCUUGUUCAACCCAAACUUUGGCCAAAAGACCAAAGGUCUGAGGAUGGGUUCCUUAGUCCAAAUAAAACAGCAAUACUU